UGAUGACCAUUAUUUAUAUCACUACCUC
rnacentral:piRNA from 1 species